rnacentral:rRNA from 1 species
UACGGAGGAUGCAAGCGUUAUCCGGAAUGAUUGGGCGUAAAGGGCACGUAGGCGGUGAAUCGGGUUGAAAGUGAAAGUCGCCAAAAAGUGGCGGAAUGCUCUCGAAACCAAUUCACUUGAGUGAGACAGAGGAGAGUGGAAUUUCGUGUGUAGGGGUGAAAUCCGUAGAUCUACGAAGGAACGCCAAAAGCGAAGGCAGCUCUCUGGGCCCCUCCCGACGCUGGGGUGCGAAAGCAUGGGGAGCGAACAGG